rnacentral:rRNA from 1 species
AGCAGCCGCGGUAAUUCCAGCUCCAAUAGCGUAUAUUAAAGUUGUUGCAGUUAAAAAGCUCGUAGUUGAAUUUCGGGGUUAGUAGGUUGGUCAUGCCUCUGGUAUGUACUGGUCUCACUGAUUCCUCCUUCCUGAUGAACCGUAAUGCCAUUAAUUUGGUGUUGCGGGGAAUUUGGACUGUUACUUUGAAAAAUUGAGUGUUUAAAGCAAGCUAACGCUUGAAUACAUUAGCAUGGAAUAAUGAAAUAGGACGUUCGAUCCUAUUUUGUUGGUUUCUAGGAUUGACGUAAUGAUUAAUAGGGAUAGUUGGGGCAUUAGUAUUCAAUUGUCAGAGGUGAAAUUCUUGGAUUUAUUGAAGACUAACUACUGCGAAAGCAUUUGCCAAGGAUGUUUCAUUAAUCAAGAACGAAAGUUAGGGAUCGAAGACGA